UACGGGGGGGGCAAGCGUUGUUCGGAAUUACUGGGCGUAAAGGGCUCGUAGGCGGCCAACUAAGUCGGAUGUGAAAUCCCCAGGCUUAACCUGGGAACUGCAUCCGAUACUGGAUGGCUUGAAUCCGGGAGAGGGAUGCGGAAUUCCAGGUGUAGCGGUGAAAUGCGUAGAUAUUGGGAGGAACACCAGUGGCGAAGGCGGCUACCUGGACCGGUUCUGACGCUGAGGCGCGAAAGCGUGGGUAGCAAACAGG
rnacentral:rRNA from 1 species